CAAACCCAAAACUCUGCCUAGAGAACUCUCACUUCCACGUUUACAUAUCUCUUUGUAUCUUGUGAGGACCGUGAGGAGAGCAGAGCCUAGACCUAGUCGGGUCGGGUGACUAUGUCCCUUGCUCACUCUCCUCACAUGGAUGGUGAGAGCUGGGGAGCUAUGGGAUGUUUCAUCUGCCACCAAAUCCCCCUCACCAAUCUUUAUUUUCCACCAUCUCCACCUCUCCCUUAAACCCCCCUCUCCCUCUUCCCUUCUCUCUCUCUCUCUCUCUCUCUCACACCCCCCCCCCCCCCCUCUGUCUCUCUCUCUCUCCCUCAUCUCUCUCCCUCAUCUCUCCCCCUCUCUCUAACACCCCCCCUCUUUCUUAUUCCCUCCCCUGCCCCUUUAUUUUCACCUUCACAGAUGACAAAUAGGUGAUCUUCAGCCUCGGCCUACCCCGGCCGGGGGGUAACCCCUGUUGGGUCACCUAUAUUGAAGAUUAAGAGAGACCUGAAGGGGAACCGCCGUGCCACCUAAAUCCUCCCCCUCUAACAUCUUUUUUAACACUCUAAAAUUAGCCAGCUAACCCCACUACAAACAACUUCAUCAAAAAUUUAAAUAAUAAAUACUUAUUGAUAACUGACCAUCAGUGACACCAGACUAAGCUAGUAAAAAAGAACACACAUACACGUGCAGAUUUUCCCUUAGGACAUUGAUCAAAUUUACAUUUCUGUCUGUCUUUUAGGGAACUGUUCUCUGUUUUUAAGCUCACUUCCGUUUUUUGCUAUUUGCUCUUGACACUUCUUUUUUUCCUUUUUUCUUCUCCUUUCCCUUUUGCAAUCCACUUUUGUUCUUCUUUUAUUUUUUAUUUUUUCAUUGUUUUAUAUUAUUUCAUUUUAUUUUAUUUUAUUUCAUUUUAGGGUUCCUGUGCUUUUGUUUGUCUUCCCCCCUCCCCUCUUUUUUCUUAGGAAGGACUGACUCCUGAGGUUCUCAUGCCAGGAAAAAUGUACCUCCCUCACUCACGGUUUUACCCACAAUCCUUUGCUGCAACAGGGAGAUUGAUUCCCAAGGCUCUCAUGGCAGAAAGGAAGUACCUCACUCACUCACGGUUUUACCCACAAUCCUUUGCUGUAACAGGAAGAUUGAUUCCUUAGGCUCUCAUCCCUCAGAACUAAAAUACCCACAAUCCCUUACGAUUGCAUACAAAUUUAAUGUAGCAAAACUAAAUUUAAAAUAAAUAAACUACAUUAAAAUUAACUUAAAACAACUUGAAAGUUUAAAAUACAACCAAGAGACAUCCAUUCUGGAAUACAAACAUCGAGAAGAGAACACAACCAUGUCUGAGAGGAACAGCACGAACCAUGACUCGAGCCCAACUCUGGGGAUGUCUUCUCCUGUCAAAAGCACAUUUAAGUGCUGUGCACUAAAGAGCAAUUCCUGUUCCUGUAAUUGAGACAAAGCACUGACCACUGGACCAAGAAGACCGACCACCGCCUCGAGGAAGACGCCGCGCCGCCACCUGAAAGAAGACGCCGCACCUCCAUCACUCCAAGCCGCCCACCACCGAGCUUCGACCCGCCGACGGCACCGAGUCCCAGCAAACCUUGCCGCGGAGCGCCUAUCUUCUUUCCCCCGCCGAGGACCCCGGACUUCAGACACACCGCUGCCGCCGCGGCUGGACAGCUGGAACCUUUUCCCCCCUCCAACAGAUUUUAGACUACUGGAAAAGAAACGCCUCACAUCAACAACAACAUAGGACCACUAGGGUAAGUCUACAAAAAACCUCUCAAACACCUCAAAAUUACUCUAAAUAGUUAGUUUUGUUUGUUGAACUUGAGUUUGUGUCUUUUUGAACUUGAGUUUGUGUCGUUUUUGAACUUGAGUUUGUGACAUUUGUUGAACUUGAGUUUGUGGUGUUUGUUGAACUUGAGUUUGUAUCGUGUUUGAAAUUGAGUUUGUGGUGUUUUUGAACUUGAGUUUGUGUGUUUUUUGAAUUUGAGUUUGUGGUGUUUUUGAACUUCAUUUUGUGGCACUUUUUUAAACUGAGUUCGUUGAACUUGAGUUUUUGGCAAUUGUUUAAUGUGAAUAUAGGUCAUUUGUUGAAUUUGAAAUUUUGUCAUUUUUUGAACUUAAGCUUGUGGUGUUUGAUGAACUUGAGUAUGUGGCAAUUGUUAACCUUGAGUCUGUAUUUUUCUCUGAACUUUACUUGGUGGCAAUUGUUGAACUUGAGUUUGUGGUGUUUUUCUGUACUUGAGUUUGUGGCGUGUUUGAACUUGAGUUUCUGUUGGUUUUGAACUUGAGGUUGUGGAAAUUGUUAAACUUGAGAUUUGGGAUUUGGUUGAACUUGAGUUUGUGAAUCGUGUUUGAACUUGAGUUUGUGGUGUUUUUGAUCUUGAGCUUUUGUGUUUUUUGAACUGAAGUUUGUGGCAAUUGUUAAACUUGUGACUUAGGUGUUGGUUGAACUUGAGUUUGUGGUGUUUUUGAACUUGAGUUUGUGAAGUGUUUGAACUAGAUUUUCUGGUUGUUUUUUAACUUGAGUCUGUGUGUUUUUCUAACUUGAGUUUGUGGAAAUUGUUAAACUUGCGAAGUGGGCAUUGGUUGAACUUGAGUUCGUGUGUUUGUUGAACUUGAGUUUUUGUCAUUUAGAACUUGAGUUUGUGGUGUUUUUGAACCUGAGUUUUUGGCGUUUGUUGAACUUAAGUUUUUGUCGUUUGGAACUUCAGUUUGUGGUGUUUUUGAACUUGAGGUUUUGGCAGAUGUUAAACUUGAUAUUUGGGUGUUGUUUGAACUUGAGUUUGUGUCGUGUUUGAACUUGAGUUUGUGUCGUGUUUGAACUUGAGUUUGUGUCGUGUUUGAACUUGAGGUUGUGGAAAUUGUUAAACGUGAGAAUUGGGUAUUGGUUAAACUUGAGUUUGUGUGUUUGUUGACCUGAGUUUGUGUCGUGUUUGAACUUGAGAUUUUGCUGUUUUGUGAUCUUGAAUUUGUGUGGGUUUUUUUUAACUUGAGUUUUUGGUGUUUUUGAAUUUGAGAUUCUGUUGUUUUUGAACAUGAGGUUGUGGCAAUUUGUUAAACUUGAGAUUUGGGUGUUGGUUGAAAUUAAGUUUCGGCAUUUUUGAACUUGAGUUUGUGGUGUUUUUGAACUUGAAUUUGUGUGUUUUUUGAACCUGAGUUUGUUGAACUAAAGUUUUUGGCAAUUCUUUAAUGUUAAUAUAGGUUAUUUGUUGAAUUUUAAAUUUUGGCAUUUUUUGAACUUAAGCUUGUGGUGUUUGUUGAACUUGAGUUUGUGGCAAUUGUUAACAUUGAGUCUGUAUUUUUCUCUGAACAUUAGUUGGUGGCAAUUGUUGAACUUGAGUUCGUGUGUUUGUUGAACUUGAGUUUGUGUCGUGUUUGAACUUGAGUUUGUGUCGUGUUUGAACUUGAGUUUGUGUCGUGUUUGAACUUGAGUGUUGUGUUUGAACUUGAGUUUGUUGCAAUUUUUGAACUUGAGUUUUGAACUUGAGUCUUUGGUUUUUAGUGAACUUUAUUUGGUGGCAAUUGUUAAACUUGAGUUUGUCGCGUGUUUGAACUUGAGUUUGUGUUGUUUUUUAACUUGAGGUUUUGGCAAUUGUUAAUCUUUAGAUUUGGGUGUUGGUUGAACUUAAAACUUUGACAUUUGUUGAACUUGACUUUGUGGUGUUCAUUUAACUUGAGUUUGUGGUGUUUUUGAACUUGAAUUUGUGUGUUUUUUGAACUUAAGGUUGUUGCAAUUUUUGAACUUGAGUUUGUUGAACUUGAGUUUUUGGCAAUUGUUAAAUGUGAGUUUAGGUCAUUUGUUGAAUUUGAAAUUUUGGCAUUUUUUGAACUUAAGAUUGUGGUGUUUGUUGAACUUGAGUUUGUGGCAAUUGUUGAACUUGAGUCUGUAUUUUUCCCUGAACUUUAGUUUGAAUUUUUGUGUGUUUUUUGAAUUUAAGUAUGUGGCAAUUGUUAAACUUGAGAUUUGGGUGUUGGUUGAACUUGAGUUUGUGGUGUUUUUGAACUUGAGUUUGUGUGUUUGUUUAACUUGAGUUUGUGGCGUGUUUUGACUUGAGUUUCUGUUGUUUUUGAACUUGAGGUUGUGGCAAUUGUCAAACUUGAGAUUUGGGAUUUGGUUGAACUUGAGUUCGUGGCGUGUUUGAACUUGGGUUUGUGGUGUUUUUUAACUUGAGUUUGUGGCGGUGUUGAGCUUGAGUUUGUGGCAUGUUUUAACCUGAAUUUUUGUUGUUUUUCUUACUUGAGGCUUCGGCAAUUGUUAAACUUUAGAUUUGGGUGUUGGUUGAACUUGAGUAUGUGGUGUUUUUGAACUUGAGUUUGAGUUUGUUUGUUUGUUGAACUUGAGUUCGUGGCGUGUUUGAACUUGAGUUUGUGUUCUUUUUGAACUUGAGGUUGUGGAAAUUGUUAAACUCGCCCUCCUCGAGCCAUCAUGAAGGCGGAGGUGGCGGGGUAGAGCAGCAAUGAACAAACCCCCCCUGGAACAGGAGCGCUUCAAGGACAGUGGAGCAAUUAGCUGGCACGAGGGUGGAGCUGGUGUGGCAGUGUGUUGCUGGUUUGCUGUCAGAGCAGAGGAAGAGGCUGGGUUAGUGCAGUUUUAAAUAAGGCACUCUAUAGGCAAAGAACCAAUGGGAUCUAGGUGUGAAUCAGCUGAUUAUCAUCUGGUUGAGGUGGCUACUAGCCAUUGGCUGUGGAUCAGCGCUUGACGUUGUGUCCUGACAGAACUAACGCUAUGCUUCAUUUCAGUCAGGUACACUUUGUCCAAAUUUUUAGCUUUAUUGUGCAAGUUAGAUUUGGCGGCAUGAUUCUGUUCCGGGUCCCUGCCCUUCCACGCGCUUGUGUGGAAGCCCGAGGCAGGAAGAGCCCCUUCCUGCCUUUCACGAGCCAUCAUGAAAGGCGAUAGCAGGGAGCGCACGCGAGGUUCUGUUCAGGGCCCCCGUUCUCCACGUUGGCAGGGGUGAAAGGCCAGCGGCAGGAAGAGCACCUUCCCGCCCUCCACGUGCCAUCAUGAAGGCGGAGGAGGCAGGGGUAGAGCAGCAAUGAACAGAACCCCCCCAAAACAACCAUGCCGUGCAGUCUAGGAGCUAGCAGGGGAGGUGAGCGCUGCUGAAAGAAAGACAGGUUAGAGAGACCCGUUGCCCAAGCAUGGAUAUUUAUCUGCAGGUUGUUUAUAUAUUUCAUUUAAUUAGCAUCUAUGUGCCAAAGUUAUGGGUACUCAUAGUUUUUGGGCUUCGAGAAUGUCCCGAGCCUCGGGGCGCAGAUAGCAUUUGUACGCAGCUGACGACUAUUGGCCCAUGGCUUUGAGGGUCGACACAGGAGCCGUCAUAGCUGCGGUUGUAGCUGCACCUAUGUGAAAGGAAUGAGCCGUGUAGCGAUCUGAAGGAUGUGUGGAGGGCGAUCAGCUAAGCUGUCAUCUGACUGAGGGCUAGCUUAAGAUCAGCUGGCUUUAACCUUUAGCUUGACUGUACCUUGUGUCCUGCCUGAACUACAGCCAUGCUUAAUUUCAGUCAGGACUACUUUAGUUAGAAUCAAUUAUUUAUUACUAGCAAAAUAUUUUUUAACAUUGUCGGUAUGGCUGUGUUCCGAGAGUUCCCUGCUCUCUCAUGUGCUUGCAUAGAAUCCCAAGGCAAUGAGAGGGAAUGCCCUCCCCUCCCUUUCAUGUGCAUAUAUGAAAAGCCAAGGCAGAAAAAGCAGCAGCCAUACUGGCAACCCUCCCCAGCUUUCAUGAGCUACAUGAAGGCACCUACGGGGGAGGGAGGGCAGCCAGCAGCGAGAAACUAUGAAGCAACCUACCCACCUACAAAGCUUGCAUAGUAUUGGUUACCCUCACAACAUGAUCAUGGAUCAGGAUUAAUUUAAUCCAUACACAAAUUUAUAGUUGGGAAUAUGCGUAAUGCAAUAGAUAUGGGAAAGAAUUAAGGAGCAGCAGCAUUUUUUUUUUUUGUAGCUAAUCGAGCAUAGGAAUAUUCUAAUAAUAAUAAUAUAUUAGCCUUGGGCCUGAGGUAUCAUUCAAAGGCUGAUCGGGACCAUUGACCCGUAGCCUUGAGCGUCGAGACGGGGACGAUGGAAGAUGCAGUUGUAGCUGUGCCUAUGCGUGGUGAAUGCGUAGAGUUGUACUCAGGUAGGAGCCAACAGGAUUGGCAGAGCAGGCAGAGGUGAGCAGAAAGCUGCAAUCUGGAUAUAGGUUUCCCUUCUUCAGUGGCAAAGAGAGACUCUUAGUGGCUGGCCAGUGGCCGGCCUCUCAGGCAGCGGGACAUGGAGGAUAAAGAACAAAGACAGAGUUAGUUUUGGAAAUAUUAGAAGAAGAAAAAAAGUGCGAGAUUCAAAACUGUGGACUAUUAAAGCACAUACAAUGGAUAUAUUUAGGGCGUUGGGGCUACAGAGAAGGUGGUACAAAAGAGGUAAAGUGAGACCAUGCAGAAUCGUAUAAACUUUAAUGCUGAUUUUGCUUAACCAGCUCUCAAGUAGCUGUCAACAGAGAGCACUAAGGAUUGCAAGGCUGCACUCAGACUAACACAGUCUGAAUGAAUGGCUUCACGAACAGCCGUUGGGAUGCUUUGCCAGUGCCUUCCCCGGCUCAAGGACAUUUGACAGAGUAGACAGCUUUGUUCUUUCCCGUUUUACCAGGUGGGUGCGUCAUGGGCAUGCUGAUUUCAGAUGCCCGUCCCUGGAGUAACUUGGCUUCUCCGAGUAGUAGGCUUAGAGAGGCUUGGGUGGUUGGCCUGUAGCCACAGUUUUAGGGCACCGAUUAGAGGUGUGGGCAGGGGUGGACAAGGUAGGAUAAGGUUCCUCCAGGUACUGUACCCGUAGACUUUGUACAAGAGGAGCACACCCAGGUUAAGCGAGUUGCUGACUCCGAUGCCACAGUAUCAUCAUCUGCUGUAUCUCUCUCUUAAACAUAAAAUUAUUAUUAUUAUUAUUAUUAUUAUUAUUAUUAUUAUUAUUAUUAUUAUUAUUAUUAUUAUUUUCCUCUCCAUUUUGUCUUAUUUCUGCAUUAAUAUUGAAGCAGCUGACUCUUUAAAAGUUCCCUCCUUCCGCAAAAGGCGGAAGGUGGGCCCCUGCACCUAGGCAACCAGCGUCCAAUCAAAAGUGCGCACUGGUGCUCCCACUUGGAGUUUAUUUGUAAGCAAAUACCACUCACUCUCAAGCGGCAUGGUCCUAUUGGAUUACUUCGGUUAUAACGCAGAGUGCAGACUGAUGUGCAGCAACAGACUAAGCCUAGAUACAUGACAGGGGUGAAAACUUUAAACAGCUGAUUAUGUCUUCCCGAAAUGGCGUACUGCUGCGUAAUGGCUUACUUUCACCUCCAGGUGAGAGAAAGACCCGCAGAUUAAGCAGGAAAAAGCUUGAUGCUCGGUGAAUUGUUAACUGAUUAGAGCCAGGUCGACUACGGACUGAUCAAGUCUUUGGCUGAAUCUUUGAAUGUACUUAGCAGCUUUGCUGAAAAUGAUUUGUAAUGUUCCUAGAAUAGUGAUCCUCCCUAUGUCAUGGCUGAAUCAGAAAUAAUGGCGAGAUAUGUGUCCAGUUCAGUUCUGCGUGCUGAAAACACUUUACAUAUGACAUCUACAAAUACGCCGAAAGCUAUGAAUUCAGCCAAGGUCGGAGAUUUAAACAGCCAGGCAUCACGAUAUUUAAGCAUCACAGGCUCAUCUCCGCAAUCCACAAUGCGUCUAUCAUUGUAGUCUGAGCACAGCAAGACUAAUGUCAGUACCUGCAAGGAUUUGGCUCCGCGGAUUAGGUGUAAUUGCAGCCGCGACCAGGUCGCGUCGCGUUGCGUGGUGCUCUGGUGUGUUCACACUAGGUCCAAAGCUGCGGUCGCAGGACACGGCUGGUCGCUGCUGACCCGCUUCUCCUACCUUCCAUCUCCCUCCUUUUCUCCCUCAUAUAUACAUCCCGCAGCCCAGUUCAAAUAUUUGAACUUUGGGAGCGACGAGACUUGGCGUCCUGCGACCUCGGCAACGCAACCUCGGCAACGCGACGCAGGUAGCCAGCAGUCGCCAAGUCGCGUCAGGUCGCGGCUGUCCAUAGACCUGCAUUGGGAGCCAUCGCCGACGUCACCGAAGUCGCGUUUGGUCUGAACACCCCUUAACGCUAAGCUUCAUAUUUGGGUAUUGGUUGACUUGAGUUUCUGUGUUUGUUGAACUUGAGUUUGUGACAUGUUUGAACUUGAAUUUGUGGUGUUUUUGAACUUGAGUUUGUGUGUUUGUUGAACUUGAGUUUGUGGCGUGUUUGAACUUGAGUUUGUGUUGUUUUUGAACUUGAGGUUUUGGCAAAUGUUAAACUUGAGAUUUGGGUGUUGGUUGAACUUGAGUUUGUGUCAUAUUUGAACUUGAUUUUUUUGCAAUUUUUGAACUUGAGUUUGUUGAACUUGAGGUUGUGGAAAUUGUUAAACUUGAGAAUUGGUAUUGAUUGAACUUGAGUUUGUGUGUUUGUUGAACUUCAGUUUGUCUCGUGUUUGAACUUGAGUUUCUGUUGUUUUUGAACUUGAGGUUGUGGCAAUUGUUAAACUUGAGAUUUGGGUGUUGGUUGAACUUGAGUUUGUGUCAUGUUUGAACUUGAGUUUGUGGUGUUUUUGAACUUGAGUAUGUGUGGUUUUUUAACUUAGUUUUGUGGCAAUUGUUAAACUUGAGAUUUGGGUGUUGGUUGAACUUGGGUUUGUGGUGUUUUUGAACUUGAGUUUGUGUCUUUGUUGAACUUGAGUUUGUGGCGUGUUUUAACUUGAGUUUCUGUUGUUUUUGAACUUGAGGUUGUGGCAAUUGUUGAACUUGAGAUUUGGGAUUUGGUUGAACUUGACUUUGUUUCAUGUUUGAACUUCAGUUUGGGGUGUUUUUGAACUUGAACUUGUGUGUUUUUUGAACUUGAGUUUGUGUUGUUAAGAACUUGAGUUUGUGGUGUUUUUGAACUUGAGUUUGUGUGUUUGUUGAACUUGAGGUUGUGGCAAUUGUUAAACUUGAUAUUUGGGUGUUGUUGAACUUCAAACUUUGAAAUUUGUUGAUCUUGAGUUUGUGGUGUUCGUUGAACUUCAGUUUCAGCAUUUUUUAACUUGAGUUUGUGGCAAUUUUUAAACUUGAGUUUGUUGAACUUGAGUUUUUGGCAAUUGUUAAAUGUGAGUUUAGGUCAUUUGUUGAACUUGAGUUUGUGGCAAUUGUUGAACUUGAGUCUGUAUUUUUCACUGAACUUUAGUUUGUAGCGUUUGUUGUACUUGAGUUUGUGGCGUUUGUUGUACUUGAGUUUGUGUCUUGUUUGAACUUGAGUUGGGGGUGUUUUUGAACUUUAGGUUGUGGCAAUUGUUGAACUUGAGGAUUGUGUGUUUGUUGAACUUGAGUUUGUCUCGUGUUUGAACUUGAGUUUCUGUUGUUUUUGAACUUGAGGUUGUUGAAAUUGUUAAACUUGAGAUUUGGGUUUUGGUUGAACUUAAAACUUUUACAUUUGUUGAACUUGAGUUUGUGGCGUGUUUGAACUUGAGUUUCUGUUGUUUUUGAACUUGCGGUUUUGGAUAUUGUUUAAUUUGAGAUUUGAGUGUUGGUUGAACUUGACUUUGUCAUGUUUGAACUUGAGUUUGUGGUGUUUUUGAACUAGAUUUUGUGUGUUUUUUGAACUUAAGUUUUCUGUCAAUUGUUGAACUUGAGUUUAUGGUUUUUGGUGAACUUUACUUGGUGGCAGUUGUUGAACUUGAGUUUGUGGGAUUUGUUGAACUUGAGCAUGUGUCGUGUUUGAACUUGAGUUUGAGGGGUUUGUUGAACUUGAGCUUGUGUCGUGUUUGAACUUGAGUUUGUGGUGUUUUUGAACUUGAGUCUGUGUUGCUUUUGAACUUGAGGUUUUGGAAAUUGUUAAACUUGAGAAUUGGGUAUUGGCUGAACUUGAGUUUUUGAACUUGAGUUUGUGUCAUGUUUGAACUUGAGUUUGUUGUGUGUUUGAAUUUGAGUUUGUGUGUUUGUUGAACUUGAGGUUGUGGCAAUUGUUAAACUUGAGAUUUGGGUGUUGGUUGAACUUGAGUUUGUGUCGUUUCAGAACUUGAGUUUGUGUCGUUUCAGAACUUGCAUUCCUGUUAUUUGUUUAACUUGAAUUUGUGUGUUUUUUGAACUUGAGGUUCUGAAAAUUUUUAAACGUGAGAAUCAUGUGUUGGUUGAACAUUAGUUUGUGGUUUUUGUUGAACUUGAGAAUUGGGUAUUGGUUGAACUUGAGUUUAUGGUUUUUUUUAACUUGAGUUUGUGUCGUGUUUUUAACUUGAGUUUGUGGUGUGUUUGAAUUUGAGUUUGUGUGUUUGUUGAACUUGAGGUUGUGGCAAUUGUUAAACUUGAGAUUUGGGUGUUGGUUGAACUUGAGUUCGUGUUAUUUUUUUAACUUGAGUAUGUGUUUUUAUACUUGAGUUUGUGUCGUUUUUGAACUUGAGGUUGAGGUUUUUUUGAACUGUUUCUGUUGUUUUUGAACUUGAGGUUUUGGAAAUUGUUAAACUUGAGAAUCAGGUGUUGGUUGAACUUCAGUUAGUGUGUUUGUUGAACUUGAGUUUGUGUCGUGUUUGAACUUGAGUUCGUGUCGUGUUUGAACUUGAGUUUGUGGUGUUGUUGAACUUGGGUUUGUGGUGUUUUUGAACUUUAGGUUGUAGAAUUUGUUAAACUUGAGAUUUGGGUGUUGGUUGAACUUGAGUUUGUGUCGUGUUUGAACUUGAGGCUGUGAAAAUUUUCAAACUUGAAUAUCAGGUGUUGGUUGAACUUGAGUUUUUUGUUUUGUUGAACUUUAGUUUGUGUCUUGUUUUAACUUAUGUUUGUGUUUUUUUUUAACUUGAGGUUGUGAAAAUUGUUAAAUUUAAGAAUUGGGUAUUUGUUGAACUUGAGUUUUUGGUGUUUUUUAAAUUGAGUUUGUUUCGUGUUUGAACUUGAGUUUGUGGCAAUUUUUAAACUUAAUAUUGGAUAUUUAACCCUAACGCCAAAAACCUUAAACCUUACCAUAGCCCCAUAACCUAAUACCCAGGUAUUACCUUCAGGAAGCCCGAACACCCCAAAUAUAUUUUUUUUCAUUUUUCAUUUUUUUUUAUCUAAAUAACUCCAAAAGGUCUGAAACAUGUUCCUAAAAAGGUUUUGGACACUGAUUUUAACCCUUACGCCAAAAAACUUAAACCUUACCCUAGCCCCAUAACCUAAUAACCUAAUAAUACCUUCAGGAAGCCCAAACACCCCAAAUAUAUAUAUAUAUUUUUUUUCUCUUUUUUUGUCUAACUAACUCCAAAAGGUUGGAAAAGAGUUCCUACAAAGGUUUUGGACAGUGAUUUUAACCCUAACGCCAAAAACCUUAAACCUUACCAUUGCCCCAUUACCUAAUACCCAGGUAUUACUUUCAGGAAGCCCGAACACCCCAAAUAUUUUUUUUCAUUUUUCAUUUUUUUUGGUCUAACUAACACCAAAAGGUUGGAAAAGAGUUCCUACAUAGGUUUUGGAGUGUGAUUUUAACCCUAACGCCAAAAACCUUAAACCUUACCAUAGCCCCAUAACCUAAUACCCAGGUAUUACCUUCAGGAAGCCCGAAAACCCCAAAUAUAUUUUUUUCAUUUUUCAUUUUUUUUGGUCUAACUAACUCCAAAAGGUUGGAAAAGAGUUCCUACAAAGGUUUUGGACAGUGAUUUUAACCCUAAUGCCAAAAACCUUAAACCUUACCAUAGCCCCAUGACCUAAUACCCGGAUAUUACCUUCAGGAAGCCCGAACACCCCAAACAUUUUUUUUUCAGUUUUCAUUUUCUUUUUGUCUAACUAACUCCAAAAGGUUGGAAAAGAGUUCCUACAAAGUUUUUGGACAGUGAUUUUAACCCUAACGCCAAAAACCUUAAACCUUACCAUAGCCCCAUAACCUAAUACCCAGGUAUUACCUUCAGGAAGCCCGAAAACCCCAAAUAUAUUUUUUUCAUUUUUCAUUUUUUUUGGUCUAACUAACUCCAAAAGGUUGGAAAAGAGUUCCUACAAAGGUUUUGGACAGUGAUUUUAACCCUAAUGCCAAAAAACCUUAAACCUUACCAUAGCCCCAUGACCUAAUACCCGGGUAUUACCUUCAGGAAGCCCGAACACCCCAAAUAUUUUUUUUUCAUUGUACAAUUUUUUUUAGUGUAACCAACUCCAAAAGGUCUGAAACAUGUUCCUAAAAAGGUUUCGGACAGUGAUUUUAACCCUCACGCCAAAAACCUUAAACCUUACCCAAGCCCCAUAACCUAAUACCCGGGUAUUACCUUCAGGAAGCCCGAACACCCCAAAUAUUUUUUUUUCAUUGUACAAUUUUUUUUAGUGUAACCAACUCCAAAAGGUCUGAAACAUGUUCCUAAAAAGGUUUCGGACAGUGAUUUUAACCCUCACGCCAAUAACCUUAAACCUUACCCAAGCCCCAUAACCUAAUACCCGGGUAUUAACUUCAGGAAGCCUGAACACCCCAAAUAUUUUUUUUUCAUCUUUCAUUUUUUUUUGGUGAAACCAACUCCAAAAGGUCUGAAACAUGUUCCUAACAAGGUUUUGGACAGUGAUUUUAACCCCAACGCCAAAAAACUUAAACCUUACCCUAGCCCCAUACCCUAAUACCCGGGUAUUACCUUCAGGAAGCCCGUAAACCCUAAAUAUUUUUUUUUCAUUUUUCUUUUUUUUUGGUCUAACUAACUCCAAAAGGUUGGAAAAGAGUUCCUACAAAGGUUUUGGACACUGAUUUUAACCCUUAUGCCAAAAACCUUAAACCUUACCCUAGCCCCAUGACCUAAUACCCGGAUAUUACCUUCAGGAAGCCCGAAAACCCCAAACAGUUUUUUUUCAGUUUUCAUUUUCUUUUUGUCUAACUAACUCCAAAAGGUUGGAAAAGAGUUCCUACAAAGGUUUUGGACAGUGAUUUUAACCCUAACGCCAAAAACCUUAAAUCUUACCAUAGCCCCAUAACCUUAUACCCGGGUAUUACCUUCAGGAAGCCCGAACACCCCAAAUAUUUUUUUUUCAUUGUACAAUUUUUUUUAGUGUAACCAACUCCAAAAGGUCUGAAACAUGUUCCUAAAAAGGUUUCGGACAGUGAUUUUAACCCUCACGCCAAAAACCUUAAACCUUACCCAAGCCCCAUAACCUAAUACCCGGGUAUUAACUUCAGGAAGCCUGAACACCCCAAAUAUUUUUUUUUCAUCUUUCAUUUUUUUUGGUGAAACCAACUCCAAAAGGUCUGAAACAUGUUCCUAACAAGGUUUUGGACAGUGAUUUUAACCCCAACGCCAAAAAACUUAAACCUUACCCUAGCCCCAUACCCUAAUACCCGGGUAUUACCUUCAGGAAGCCCGAAAACCCUAAAUAUAUUUUUUUCAUUUUUCAAUUUUUUUUGGUCUAACUAACUCCAAAAGGUUGGAAAAGAGUUCCUACAAAGGUUUUGGACAGUGAUUUUAACCCUAAUGCCAAAAACCUUAAACCUUACCAUAGCCCCAUGACCUAAUACCCGGAUAUUACCUUCAGGAAGCCCGAAAACCCCAAACAUUUUUUUUUCAGUUUUCAUUUUCUUUUUGUCUAACUAACUCCAAAAGGUUGGAAAAGAGUUCCUACAAAGGUUUUGGACAGUGAUUUUAACCCUAACGCCAAAAACCUUAAAUCUUACCAUAGCCCCAUAACCUUAUACCCGGGUAUUACCUUCAGGAAGCCCGAACACCCCAAAUAUUUUUUUUCAUUGUACAAUUUUUUUUAGUGUAACCAACUCCAAAAGGUCUGAAACAAUACUUAAACCUGAAGGGUAUUACCUUCAGGAAGCCCGAACACCCCAAAUAUAUUUUUUUCUUUUUUCUUUUUUUUUUUGUCUAACUAACUCCCAAAGGUCUGAAACAUGUUCCUAAAAAGGUUUUGGACACUGAUUUUAACCCUUACGCCAAAAAACUUAAACCUUACCCUAGCCCCAAAACCUUCAGGAACCCGAACACCCCAAAUAUUUUUUUUUCAUUUUACAUUUUUUUUGGUGUAACCAACUCCAAAAGGUCUGAAACAUGUUCCUAAAAAGGUUUUGGACAGUGAUUUUAACCCUAACGCCAAAAACCUUAAACCUUACCCUAGCCCCAUAACCUCAUACCCGGGUAUUACCUUCAGGAAGCCCGAACACCCCAAUUGUAUUUUUUCUUUUUUCUUUUUUUUUGGUCUAACUAACUCCAAAAGGUCAGAAAAGAGUUCCUACAAAGGUUUUGGACAGUGAUUUUAACUCUAACUCCAAAAACCUUUAACCUUACCCUAGCCCCAUAACCUAAUACCCGGGUAUUACCUUCAGGAAGCCCGAACACCCCAUUUUUUUUUUUUCAUCUUUCAUUUUUUUUUGGUGAAACCAACUCCAAAAGGUCUGAAACAUGUUCCUAACAAGGUUUUGGACAGUGAUUUUAACCCCAACGCCAAAAAACUUAAACCUUACCCUAGCCCCAUACCCUAAUACCCGGGUAUUACCUUCAGGAAGCCCGAAAACCCUAAAUAUAUUUUUUUCAUUUUUCAUUUUUUUUGGUCUAACUAACUCCAAAAGGUUGGAAAAGAGUUCCUACAAAGGUUUUGGACAGUGAUUUUAACCCUAAUGCCAAAAACCUUAAACCUUACCAUAGCCCCAUGACCUAAUACCCGGAUAUUACCUUCAGGAAGCCCGAAAACCCCAAACAUUUUUUUUUCAGUUUUCAUUUUCUUUUUGUCUAACUAACUCCAAAAGGUUGGAAAAGAGUUCCUACAAAGGUUUUGGACAGUGAUUUUAACCCUAACGCCAAAAACCUUAAAUCUUACCAUAGCCCCAUAACCUUAUACCCGGGUAUUACCUUCAGGAAGCCCGAACACCCCAAAUAUUUUUUUUUCAUUGUACAAUUUUUUUUAGUGUAACCAACUCCAAAAGGUCUGAAACAAUACUUAAACCUGAAGGGUAUUACCUUCAGGAAGCCCGAACACCCCAAAUAUUUUUUUUUCUUUUUUCUUUUUUUUUUGUCUAACUAACUCCCAAAGGUCUGAAACAUGUUCCUAAAAA